rnacentral:rRNA from 1 species
AAUGCCGCGUGAGUGAAGAAGGCCUUCGGGUUGUAAAGCUCUUUUGUCAGGGAAGAAACGGUCUCAGCUAAUAUCUCGUGCUAAUGACGGUACCUGAAGAAUAAGCACCGGCUAACUACGUGCCAGCAGCCGCGGUAAUACGUAGGGUGCAAGCGUUAAUCGGAAUUACUGGGCGUAAAGCGUGCGCAGGCGGUUUUGUAAGACUGUCGUGAAAUCCCCGGGCUCAACCUGGGAAUGGCGAUGGUGACUGCAAGGCUAGAGUUUGGCAGAGGGGGGUAGAAUUCCACGUGUAGCAGUGAAAUGCGUAGAUAUGUGGAGGAACACCGAUGGCGAAGGCAGCCCCCUGGGUCAAAACUGACGCUCAUGCACGAAAGCGUGGGGAGCAAACAGGAUUAGAUACCCUGGUAGUCCACGCCCUAAACGAUGUCUACUAGUUGUCGGGUUUUAAUUAACUUGGUAACGCAGCUAACGCGUGAAGUAGACCGCCUGGGGAGUACGGUCGCAAGAUUAAAACUCAAAGGAAUUGACGGGGACCCGCACAAGCGGUGGAUGAUGUGGAUUAAUUCGAUGCAACGCGAAAAACCUUACCUACCCUUGACAUGGAUGGAAUCCCGGAGAGAUU